UGAAGCAUCUGUGCUCUGUGCCCUAUCUU
rnacentral:piRNA from 1 species